CAGCAGCCGCGGGAAUACGGAGGGCGCGAGCGUUACCCGGAUUUACUGGGCGUAAAGGGCGUGUAGGCGGCCUGGGGCGUCCCAUGUGAAAGGCCACGGCUCAACCGUGGAGGAGCGUGGGAUACGCUCAGGCUAGAGGGUGGGAGAGGGUGGUGGAAUUCCCGGAGUAGCGGUGAAAUGCGCAGAUACCGGGAGGAACGCCGAUGGCGAAGGCAGCCACCUGGUCCACUUCUGACGCUGAGGCGCGAAAGCGUGGGGAGCAAACCGGAUUAGAGACCCCGGUAGUCCCUGUCUCUUAUAC
rnacentral:rRNA from 1 species